rnacentral:rRNA from 1 species
GACAGAGGGUGCAAACGUUGUUCGGAAUUACUGGGCGUAAAGCGUGUGUAGGCGGCUACGCAAGUCGGAUGUGAAAGCCCCGGGCUCAACCCGGGAAGUGCACCCGAAACUGCGUGGCUUGAGUACCGGAGAGGUUGGUGGAAUUCUCGGUGUAGAGGUGAAAUUCGUAGAUAUCGAGAGGAACACCGGUGGCGAAGGCGGCCAACUGGACGAGUACUGACGCUGAGACGCGAAAGCGUGGGGAGCGAACAGG